rnacentral:rRNA from 1 species
UACGGAGGGGGCUAGCGUUGUUCGGAAUUACUGGGCGUAAAGCGCGCGUAGGCGGCUUUGUAAGUCAGAGGUGAAAGCCCGGAGCUCAACUUCGGAAUAGCCUUUGAGACUGCAUCGCUUGAAUCCGGGAGAGGUGAGUGGAAUUCCGAGUGUAGAGGUGAAAUUCGUAGAUAUUCGCAAGAACACCAGUGGCGAAGGCGGCUCACUGGCCCGGUACUGACGCUGAGGUGCGAAAGCGUGGGGAGCGAUCCGG